rnacentral:rRNA from 1 species
CCUACGGGCGGCAGCAGUCGAGAAUCAUUCACAAUGGGGGAAACCCUGAUGGUGCGACGCCGCGUGGGGGAAUGAAGGUCUUCGGAUCGUAAACCCCUGUCAUGUGGGAGCAAAUUAAAAAGAUAGUACCACAAGAGGAAGAGACGGCUAACUCUGUGCCAGCAGCCGCGGUAAUACAGAGGUCUCAAGCGUUGUUCGGCAUCACUGGGCGUAAAGGGUGCGUAGGCUGUUUCGUAAGUCGUGUGUGAAAGGCGCGGGCUCAACCCGCGGACGGCACAUGAUACUGCGAGACUGGAGUAAUGGAGGGGGAACCGGAAUGCUCGGUGUAGCAGUGAAAUGCGUAGAUAUCGAGAGGAACACUGGUGGCGAAGGCGGGUUCCUGGACAUUAACUGACGCUGAGGCACGAAGGCCAGGGGAGCGAAAGGGAUUAGAUACCCUGGUAGUC